rnacentral:antisense_RNA from 1 species
CUUCACCGAGCCGAGCAGCAGCGGCUUGUCCUCGGGGCGGUCCUGGCCGUACGUGGCAAGGACGGCCUGGGCCUC